rnacentral:rRNA from 1 species
GACGAACGCUGGCGGCGUGCUUGACACAUGCAAGUCGAACGGAAAGGCCCUGCUUUUGUGGGGUGCUCGAGUGGCGAACGGGUGAGUAACACGUGAGUAACCUGCCCUUGACUUUGGGAUAACUUCAGGAAACUGGGGCUAAUACCGGAUAGGAGCUCCUGCUGCAUGGUGGGGGUUGGAAAGUUUCGGCGGUUGGGGAUGGACUCGCGGCUUAUCAGCUUGUUGGUGGGGUAGUGGCUUACCAAGGCUUUGACGGGUAGCCGGCCUGAGAGGGUGACCGGCCACAUUGGGACUGAGAUACGGCCCAGACUCCUACGGGAGGCAGCAGUGGGGAAUAUUGCACAAUGGGCGGAAGCCUGAUGCAGCAACGCCGCGUGCGGGAUGACGGCCUUCGGGUUGUAAACCGCUUUCGCCUGUGACGAAGCGUGAGUGACGGUAAUGGGUAAAGAAGCACCGGCUAACUACGUGCCAGCAGCCGCGGUGAUACGUAGGGUGCGAGCGUUGUCCGGAUUUAUUGGGCGUAAAGGGCUCGUAGGUGGUUGAUCGCGUCGGAAGUGUAAUCUUGGGGCUUAACCCUGAGCGUGCUUUCGAUACGGGUUGACUUGAGGAAGGUAGGGGAGAAUGGAAUUCCUGGUGGAGCGGUGGAAUGCGCAGAUAUCAGGAGGAACACCAGUGGCGAAGGCGGUUCUCUGGGCCUUUCCUGACGCUGAGGAGCGAAAGCGUGGGGAGCGAACAGGCUUAGAUACCCUGGUAGUCCACGCUGUAAACGGUGGGUACUAGGUGUGGGGUCCAUUCCACGGGUUCCGUGCCGUAGCUAACGCUUUAAGUACCCCGCCUGGGGAGUACGGCCGCAAGGCUAAAACUCAAAGGAAUUGACGGGGCCCCGCACAAGCGGCGGAGCAUGCGGAUUAAUUCGAUGCAACGCGUAGAACCUUACCUGGGUUUGACAUGGGUCGGGAGUGCUCAGAGAUGGGUGUGCCUCUUUUGGGGUCGGUUCACAGGUGGUGCAUGGCUGUCGUCAGCUCGUGUCGUGAGAUGUUGGGUUAAGUCCCGCAACGAGCGCAACCCUUGUUCACUGUUGCCAGCACGUUAUGGUGGGGACUCAGUGGAGACCGCCGGGGUCAACUCGGAGGAAGGUGGGGAUGACGUCAAGUCAUCAUGCCCCUUAUGUCCAGGGCUUCACGCAUGCUACAAUGGCUGGUACAGAGAGUGGCGAGCCUGUGAGGGUGAGCGAAUCUCGGAAAGCCGGUCUCAGUUCGGAUUGGGGUCUGCAACUCGACCUCAUGAAGUCGGAGUCGCUAGUAAUCGCAGAUCAGCAACGCUGCGGUGAAUACGUUCCCGGGGCU